GUCACCACACUGCUGCAUUCAAUGAGAUUGUGAGGCCAGACAGGUGUAAUUUCAAACUGCCAGGAAGUUAAUGUGGCUCAUGGGGAAUCUGGAGUAAAAAGCUCAAAGCUUUAUUGCUUGUCGUGUCCCUCCUUAUUUGAAGAAACUUCUCUGUGCCAAGAUCUUCUUCAGAGGAGAAAAAGCAUUUAAUUUUCAGGUAUGUUAAUGAUUUAACAUCAUCAUGUU
rnacentral:lncRNA from 1 species